UGGGGAAUAUUGGACAAUGGGGGAAACCCUGAUCCAGCAAUGCCGCGUGAGUGAAGAAGGCCUUAGGGUUGUAAAGCUCUUUCGCCCGCGAAGAUAAUGACGGUAGCGGGAGAAGAAGCCCCGGCUAACUCCGUGCCAGCAGCCGCGGUAAUACGGAGGGGGCUAGCGUUGUUCGGAAUUACUGGGCGUAAAGCGUACGUAGGCGGAUGCGCAAGUUGGGGGUGAAAUCCCGGGGCUUAACCUCGGAAUGGCCCUCAAAACUGCACGUCUUAAGACCGAGAGAGGGAAGGGGAAUUCCUAGUGUAGAGGUGAAAUUCGUAGAUAUUAGGAAGAACACCAGUGGCGAAGGCGCCUUACUGGCUCGGUACUGACGCUGAGGUACGAAAGCGUGGGGAGCAAACA
rnacentral:rRNA from 1 species